GGGAACAGCAUGUAUAGAUGUACCAAGGAGCGCAAGAUGUCUUUCAUUAUUUCACAAAAAGAACUCCAGGAGAGCAUCUGUAACAUAAGAUAUCCUGUGGGUAGGUGACAAGAGAUGGGCCUGAAAAGGAAGCUAUGCCAGAGAAAGUGUGGUCCUGAAACCUUACUGAUGCUUUGAUUAUCUACAGAAUCCCAUAAGAAAGAAACCUCGAAAGCAGAGAAUGAAGAGGUGCCCAGCCUUGUGUGAGGCACAGCUGACCAGAACAAAUGGAGCAAAGAGGUAGCUGCUUGGUGCACUUCCCAGACU